rnacentral:rRNA from 1 species
UACAGGAGGGUGCAAGCGUUGCUCGGAAUUAUUGGGCGUAAAGGGUAGGUAGGUGGUCUUAUUUGUCUGGGGUGAAAGCCUUGAGCUUAACUCAAGAAGUGCCCCAGAAACGGUAAGACUAGAGUCUUGGAGAGGGUUGCGGAAUUCCCGGUGUAGCGGUGAAAUGCGUAGAGAUCGGGAGGAACACCAGAGGCGAAGGCGACACGCUGGGUCAUACCUGACGCUAAAACGCCGACAGCAUGGGGAGACGAACGGG